UUUCUAAUUGAAAAUGAAGCCUCUUAAUCCUUCGACAAACCCCAAGACGAACACUCUGUCGAGAAUCCUGCACAUACCAAAAACUACGCUCCACCAACUCCUUUCGAGGAUCUUUCUCGAAUAGCUAGACUAGCUCCGACUUUUGGCAGCUAUGUAUCACUUAGUAAUUUAACCUUUUAUUUUCCUAAUUUAAAAAAUUAGCAUUUUUUAUCUGAGUGCACACGGGUGUUAAGUUUUAAUUAAUUUAAUUAAUUUAUCUUAAUUAAAUUGUGAUUGCCGUCCAACGACUCCAGGUUCACGUGAGGAUAUCCAUAGGUAUACACCCUAGCGUUCUAACAACGUGAGCAGGUAAUAUAAUUAUAUUUAUCUUUAGUUAUUGAUUUUGUCACCAUUCUCGGAUUCACGACUCCAAAACCCUUUUAAACAUAGGAAGGAAGGUAGUAAUAUAACUAGUAGGCUGAACUUUUAUUAUGAUUAAAGAUAAAUCACUCUUUGUAGUACCACUCCUUUAAAUUUCAUUCUUUGUAGGUGAUUAUCCUAUAAUUUCAAAUAUAUUUGUCUUUUAUUUCUAUACUUAGUGUCCUUAG